UUGCUUCAGCAGCAUAAAAACUAAAAUUGGAAUGAUACAGAGAAGAUUACCAUGGCCCCUGCGCAAGGAUGACAUGCAAAUUUGUGAAGUGUUCCAUAUUUCA
rnacentral:snRNA from 1 species